GCUUCGCUCCUACUACUCUACUAGUCGUUACUGCCACGACCGCAAACAAACGCGCCGAGCUCCCGGAGCCGGAGCAAACCGGCGCCCGGAACGGCUCCUCCCGCUAAGGCAUUUGUUCGAACACCUUGCGGGCGUGGACUGCGGGGGCGACCCCCUCGUCCCCGCCUUUGGCGUUCCGUCGAACAGGCGGGCGGGGGUGGGCGGCGUGAGUUGGGGCAGUCUCGUGCCCGGUCGGCAUCGAUCUGUGGACCCAUCCUCGCCGGCCGCCGGGGUCGUCGUCGACUGGUCCGCCGCCUUGAUGAGCAAUCGCUGCAGUAAACAAAAGACCCAAUUCGCGUCGUCGUCGUUGUCUCGUCUCGUCACAGGGCUGAGUGGUGGGUGGGGCUCCACGAGGCACGGCCGCAUGGGGUAGGCUCCACUACUCCAGUACUCCGUACUUGGUGAGCUCACCGCAUACUCCCUCCAUCGAAAAAGAAAAUCCAACAUAGAUACUCUGUUUACAUUCUAAUAAUACCUUCGUAAAAAAUAUAGCAACUUAGAAUG
rnacentral:sRNA from 1 species